rnacentral:rRNA from 1 species
GACGAACGCUGGCGGCGUGCCUAAUACAUGCAAGUCGAGCGGACGGAUGGGAGCUUGCUCCCAGCCCGUCAGCGGCGGACGGGUGAGUAACACGUGGGCAACCUGCCUGUAAGACUGGGAUAACUCCGGGAAACCGGGGCUAAUACCGGAUAACUCUUUCCCUCACAUGAGGGAAAGCUGAAAGAUGGCAUCUCGCUAUCACUUACAGAUGGGCCCGCGGCGCAUUAGCUAGUUGGUGAGGUAACGGCUCACCAAGGCGACGAUGCGUAGCCGACCUGAGAGGGUGAUCGGCCAGACUGGGACUGAGACACGGCCCAGACUCCUACGGGAGGCAGCAGUAGGGAAUCUUCCGCAAUGGACGAAAGUCUGACGGAGCAACGCCGCGUGAGUGAUGAAGGUUUUCGGAUCGUAAAACUCUGUUGUCAGGGAAGAACAAGUACCGGAGUAACUGCCGGUACCUUGACGGUACCUGACCAGAAAGCCACGGCUAACUACGUG